rnacentral:rRNA from 1 species
CCUACGGGUGGCAGCAGUGGGGAAUAUUGGACAAUGGGCGAAAGCCUGAUCCAGCCAUGCCGCGUGUGUGAAGAAGGCCUUCGGGUUGUAAAGCACUUUCAGUGGGGAAGAAAGCCUUGGGGCUAAUACCCUCGAGGAAGGACAUCACCCACAGAAGAAGCACCGGCUAACUCCGUGCCAGCAGCCGCGGUAAUACGGAGGGUGCGAGCGUUAAUCGGAAUUACUGGGCGUAAAGCGCGCGUAGGCGGUCUGAUAAGCCGGUUGUGAAAGCCCCGGGCUCAACCUGGGAACGGCAUCCGGAACUGUCAGGCUAGAGUGCAGGAGAGGAAGGUAGAAUUCCCGGUGGAGCGGUGAAAUGCGUAGAGAUCGGGAGGAAUACCAGUGGCGAAGGCGGUCUUCUGGACUGACACUGACGCUGAGGUGCGAAAGCGUGGGUAGCAAACAGGAUUAGAUACCCCUGUAGUC